AGAGUUUGAUCAUGGCUCAGAACGAACGCUGGCGGCAUGCCUAACACAUGCAAGUCGAACGAGACCUUCGGGUCUAGUGGCGCACGGGUGCGUAACGCGUGGGAAUCUGCCCUUUGCUUCGGAAUAACAGUUAGAAAUGACUGCUAAUACCGGAUGAUGUCUUCGGACCAAAGAUUUAUCGGCAAAGGAUGAGCCCGCGUAGGAUUAGGUAGUUGGUGGGGUAAAGGCCUACCAAGCCGACGAUCCUUAGCUGGUCUGAGAGGAUGAUCAGCCACACUGGGACUGAGACACGGCCCAGACUCCUACGGGAGGCAGCAGUGGGGAAUAUUGGACAAUGGGCGCAAGCCUGAUCCAGCAAUGCCGCGUGAGUGAUGAUGGCCUUCGGGUCGUAAAGCUCUUUUACCAGGGAUGAUAAUGACAGUACCUGGAGAAUAAGCUCCGGCUAACUCCGUG
rnacentral:rRNA from 1 species